rnacentral:rRNA from 1 species
AUGAUUCGUGGGACGUCCUGCCGGUGGUGGCGAGUCGAAGGCGUGCUCCCGUCGUGGUUUCCACUUCGGUUCUUGUGCGCCCGAGGCGGACCCCGAUGAAAUCCUACCGCGGUGCUCUUAACCGAGUGUCGAGGUGGGCCGGCACGUUUACUUUGAACAAAUUAGAGUGCUUAAAGCAGGCCUGUUGCGCCUGAAUACUGUGUGCAUGGAAUAAUGGAAUAGGACCUCGGUUCUAUUUUGUUGGUUUUCGGAACCCGAGGUAAUGAUUAAUAGGGACAGGCGGGGGCAUUCGUAUUGCGACGUUAGAGGUGAAAUUCUUGGAUCGUCGCAAGACGGACCGAAGCGAAAGCAUUUGCCAAGUAUGUUUUCAUUAAUCAAGAACGAAAGUUAGAGGUUCGAAGGCGAUCAGAUACCGCCCUAGUUCUAACCAUAAACGAUGCCAGCUAGCGAUCCGCCGAAGUUCCUCCGAUGACUCGGCGGGCAGCUCCCGGGAAACCAAAGCUUUCGGGUUCCGGGGGAAGUAUGGUUGCAAGCUGAACUUAAAGGAAUUGACGGAAGG